GAUGAACGCUAGCGGGAGGCCUAACACAUGCAAGCCGAGCGGUAGAGAUUCUUCGGCCUCUUGAGAGCGGCGUACGGGUGCGGAACACGUGUGCAACCUGCCUUUAUCAGGGGGAUAGCCUUUCGAAAGGAAGAUUAAUACCCCAUAAUAUAUUUUAUGGCAUCAUUAGAUAUUGAAAGCUUUGGCGGAUAGAGAUGGGCACGCGCAAGAUUAGAUAGUUGGUGAGGUAACGGCUCACCAAGUCGAUGAUCUUUAGGGGGCCUGAGAGGGUGAUCCCCCAGACUGGGACUGAGGCACGGACCAGACUCCUACGGGAGGCAGCAGUGAGGAAUAUUGGACAAUGGGUUAGCGCCUGAUCCAGCCAUCCCGCGUGAAGGACGACGGCCCUAUGGGUUGUAAACUUCUUUUGUACAGGGAUAAACCUACUCUCGUGAGAGUAGCUGAAGGUACUGUACGAAUAAGCACCGGCUAACUCCGUG
rnacentral:rRNA from 1 species